CCUGAGAAACGGCUACCACAUCCAAGGAAGGCAGCAGGCGCGCAAAUUACCCACUCCCGGCACGGGGAGGUAGUGACGAAAAAUAACGAUACGGGACUCAUCCGAGGCCCCGUAAUCGGAAUGAGUACACUUUAAAUCCUUUAGCGAUUAACAAUUGGAGGGCAAGCCUGGUGCCAGCAGCCGCGGUAAUUCCAGCUCCAAUAGCGUAUAUUAAAGUUGUUGCGGUUAAAAAGCUCGUAGUUGAAUCUGUGUGCCACACUGUCGGUUCACCGCUCGCGGUGUUCAACUGAUAUGUCUGUGGGACGUCCUGCCGGUGGGCGCAGCCCCUCAAAAGGCGGCCCAACUCAAAAUCCUACCACGGUGCUCUUCACCGAGUGUCGAGGUGGGCCGGUACGUUUACUUUGAACAAAUUAGAGUGCUUAAAGCAGGCUCAUUCGCCUGAAUAUUCUGUGCAUGGAAUAAUGGAAUAGGACCUCGGUUCUAUUUUGUUGGUUUUCGGAACUCCGAGGUAAUGAUUAAUAGGGACAACUGGGGGCAUUCGUAUUGCGACGUUAGAGGUGAAAUUCUUGGAUCGUCGCAAGACGGACAGAAGCGAAAGAAAUGUGUUUUCAUCAAUCAAGAACGAAAGUUAGAGGUUCGAAGGCGAUUAGAUACCGCCCUAGUUCUAACCAUAAACGAUGCCAGCUAGCGAUCCGCCGAAGUUCCUCCGAUGACUCGGCGGGCAGCUUCCGGGAAACCAAAGCUUUUGGGUUCCGGGGGAAGUAUGGUUGCAAAGCUGAAACUUAAAGGAAUUGACGGAAGGGCACCACCAGGAGUGGAGCCUGCGGCUUAAUUUGACUCAACACGGGAAACCUCACCAGGCCCGGACACCGGAAGGAUUGACAGAUUGAGAGCUCUUUCUUGAUUCGGUGGUAGGUGGUGCAUGGCCGUUCUUAGUUGGUGGAGCGAUUUGUCUGGUUAAUUCCGAUAACGAACGAGACUCUAGCCUGCUAAAUAGGCGUACUUUCCGGUAUCUCGAAGGCCCGCCGGUCGGCUUCGGUCCGUGUGUGGUUUUUACUACCGGCGUACAUAUAUAUCUUCUUAGAGGGACAGGUGGCAUUUAGUCGCACGAGAUUGAGCAAUAACAGGUCUGUGAUGC
rnacentral:rRNA from 1 species